UUCACCCGACCGCGCCAGUCCCAGGUGGCGCGGAAUGGCGGCGGCGCUGCCGUAUGUUGGCACGCACCUAUUGUCCCACAUUUACCGCCUUCCUCACGCUGACAGCUGCUGCCGGCGCUCCACGCGGCUCCUCGCCGCUUUCCUUACCGAAACGGCGGCCCCUCGCCGCCUCUCCGUGUUUCGAAAACCACUUCUUCGCACCUCUCUGCCGGCCGCCGAGCACAUGGUCGAGUGAUAUUGAUUCGGCCACCAAGAAAGGCCGAUAAUUUUGAAGCCUUAAAAUCGAUAGCAAUUACAGUGUAGCUCAGAGCGGCGUCAGUCCUCUUCACGGAAGGACAACUGUUCGCGAUUGUGCUUUUACGUAGGGCGAGUAGCGAUCUAGAAGUUACAGAGUGGUCGCAAGACGGUUUGUGGUGAGAGUUAACUACUGGCGUGUUCGUGCCUGUUUUGUGUUGCUGCGUGACGCCUGCGGCUUGUGGAAGCGGUAUCACGACAGUUCGAGUGUAAAAUGCUGUUCGACUAUUUGAAGGAUCUUUUCUCGAAUUUUAGUUGCAAUAGAGUCGUUUGCUUCGCCACGAAAAAGAGUGAGACGUCUAAGCAGAAAAUACAAUCGUCCACGCGAGCCACGGCAUAGCGUAUUUUGCGGAAUGACCUAGACGGUAGUUUUUAUUUCUUUUAUAUUUUUUAUCGCUUUUAAGAUAUGCACGUUUGCAAUUUCAUUUACGCAGAACUUAUAAGAAAUAGUCGGUUUCGAAAUUUCUCGUUCUUGCAGGUGUAAAUAUGGAUUAAAUCCAGUGAUCUCCAACUACCUGGAAUUUUGGUUGAGGAGAAAAGCGGAGGGUGCUGCAGUUCUUGGUCACGCUGCGCGCGGAUUGUGCUGACAGGUGUGGCAAUGGUGGGCUUCACGGCGUCUGCGGAGCUGUUGUUUACUUCUGCUUUUGUGGCGCAUUCGAAUAUGACUGGGUACUGUAGAAAAUAAUGUGUGAGAACCAUAAGGACCAAGUUUGUUGAGAUUCACAGCCGGAAAGUUUGGUUGUGUAAAUUGUCAUUUCUCCAAAUGAUUGUGAAGUAGCCUUUCCUGUGCUUCGUCCAACUUCGUGUCAUUGUAAAAUUGGUUGCAUUGUACAAGUGUUAUUUUAUGUGUAGAGACAUACAACACUUUCUGUAUAACUGAGAUAUUAAAUAAAAAGA